UCUUAAACUAGUCUAAAAUAUUAGUUUUUAUAAUAGAACAGAAUGACGACUUUUAUGAGGAAUUUAAUAGGUUCUAACCCUUAAAAUUAACUUAUUUGAAUAUUUUUUAAAUUGUUUAAUUGUUUCAAUUCUUGUAUAUCAUAAAUUGUGGCAUUUAAUGGCAUCAACACUGCUAAACGGCAAAUAGAUUGCAUUAGGAAAAAAGACGGUUAUGUGGCUUACCACGACUGUCCUUCACAAAAAAAACAAAUUAAAUUCUUUGGGAGUGAUAAACGAAUAGUUGGCUUAUGUUCAUUCAAUGUUUUUUAUUAGUCUUCACCCCGUUGUUUGUCCGACUCGAGUAUCCUUCAUUUCUAAGCCAAUUCUAGUUAACCUAGAGUACAGCAAAACCUAAUCCAAAUCUAAGCAAUAGCCUAAGAUUACCCAACACCCAAGUCAUGUAGACCCCAUUAGAGAGACUACCUUAAGUCUAGAACAACCCACGACCUAAAUGCACGUUCAUAUUUAGGUAUAUGUCAUUUGAAAAAUCAUUGUCUUUAGGGUAAGAAGUAGAUUAGCCUACUUUAGUAGAAAAAAGAGUUUCGCAAGCUACUAGUCUAUUUAUGUGUUAUAACUGCUUGUGUGAAUAUGUUGCUUUAUUUGGAAAUAUUCUAGUUCACUAUUCUUCAAAUUAUUUUUUAGAACCGCUAAGCACAAAUGUUAAGUCACUGUCAAAAGUACGUCCAAAUACUCAAAUCGAAAGAGUUCGAUGGGUAGAACUACGUAGGACCUGAAUUCUUUUUUGUGAGAUACGUAGGCAGCCUUUAAGGUUCGAUCCCCAUUUAUUGAGAUAUUUUAUGUUUUCCAACUCUUACAAAGAAAUUAGAGUUACAUCUCAUUCAAAAAAAAAGAAAUACGAUAAUGAAAGAUACAAUCGACUUGUCUCGACUCAAGUCUACAUUUCCGUUCACUAGGCUAAAAUUCAAAGAGAUAAAUUCAUGUCUAUUUAGUCAUUUCUCUAUAUAUGUGGGCUAGUUUAUAUUCAGAUGAAGCAAUUGUUACGUGUUUAUAGUAACGUGUGUGAUAUUUUGUAUUAUUUAUCAUCAACCUAGACUAACACAUUUGACUUUGAAUUGUUAUUCUCUGUCAAGUACUCAAAACUGAUUUAUGUUGAAAAAAUGGAUGAACAUCCAUACUUUAGAAGGUUCAAAGACCCCAAAGAUUCCUUAUCUGAAAAAUAUUUGUCAAAAGGAAAGAGAAAAUGGUUUAAAAUGUCGAGAAUAUUGAUUUGACUAAAAUCACUGUAAAUGACCCUAUCGUUGCUAAACAGAACAAGUUGAUUGCACAAUUAUUCAAACAGAUUGCUAAAAUGAGGGAUAAAAUGGAUAAGACUCGAGAUUGACGAAUUUGGCUAUCAUUGCCAAAUACUCCUGCUCAAGAAAACGAAAGGCCAUCAACCCAAUUCCUACUUCAGAUCCAAAAUCCAAACAUUUUCCAAAUAAUUCAACCACCGAUACCAUUUCAAAACCUCUCAUCAUUGACUUAACCGCCCCUAAUCAAAAUACCAACAUUCUCUAGAAUUUUCUUCAUGUCCAUCAAACCCCUACUCGAAUUGUCUAAAACCCACCUACCACUCAACCCAUACCUCUAAAACCUGCAUUUCACCUUCCAAUAUCAUUAGAAUCAAUACCUUUCAUCUGCUACACAUUUUGAAUUCAACUUUUAUUAGAAUAAGUAGGAGUGGAAGGUCAUGAAAAGAAAGGCUAAGCAAAGCAUCAGAGAGGAAAUUAUAAAUGCAAUAAAGGACUUUCAAUACACCCCAAACAUUAUGGGGUUGAUUUACGAAGAUUUGUGUCUCUAUCCACACUUGGAACUUCUAAAAAAUUUAAAGUAUCAUAAUUUGACACUUUUAGUGGAGUCGAAAAUCCUUUGACUCAUUUGAGGGAUUAUUGUGAUCAACUUAUUGGAGUAGGGAAAGAUGAAGCUUUGUUAAUGUGACUCUUUAGUCGAACUCUUAAAGGGGAAGCUUUGAAAUGGUUUAUUUAAAAAGAAAUCAAGCAGUGGGCAAGUUGGAAUACUUUGGAUAAAGACAUGAUCGAAAGACUUUGUCACAUUGUAGAGUUCAUCCCAGAUCAAUACUCUUUGGAGAGAAUCAAACAGAAUUCUAUGAAAGCUAUCGAGAGUAUGCCUACCAUUAGAGAAGAGAGGUUGCAAGGGUUAGUCCUCCUAUGACCAAGAAAGAGAUUAUUUAAGUCUUUGUGCGCACUGAAGAUGCGGAGUAUUACAGUAGGAUGAUGCUCAUUUUAGGAGGCAAGUUCUGUGAGAUAGUCAAAACUGGUGAAGCUAUUGAAGACGGUCUCAAGACCGGGAAAAUCAUUUGAAUGGCUCCCCAAGAUGAAUCCUCGGUACCAUUGAGGAGGAACAGGGAUGAUGUUUCCUCUAUCUCAUUUGAAUCAAGCCACAAAUUAAAGAGCCAUGCCGAUCUUAAUGUUCGAAAGCCUUUACCAUCCGAAAUCUACCAUUUAGCUCCACAAAUUUUUUGCCCCAUCCCACCAAAUUACGAAGCGCCAUUGCCAAAUCACCCAAACGGUCAAUCAAGUCACCAGGCUCCAUUGCCAAAUUAAUCAAAUGAACCUCAAAGCUAUCAAGCCCCACAGUACAAAAAUUUCCAAACACCAGCACCUACUCGCCGAAAUCCUCCCAGUUAGCGCCAAGAACCUCCGUUUUUAUACAAAAUAAUUACAAUAUUUCUUGUCAGGUAUUUUUGAAGAAACCUUCUCGAGUCUUUACUCCUUUGGUUUAAAGUCAAACCCAACUCUUUGAGAGAUUGAAAAAGGGCUUGUCUAAUACAAACAAUUGAUCAAAAAAAUAUAAAUGUCAAUUACAGACUUUGUAGGCCCAAUCUUCAUUGUGCUUACCAUUCAGGGGGUGUUGGACAUACCACAUAGGAUUGCAUAAAAUUGAAGCAUAGAAUUCAAGACUUAAUUGAUCAAAGAAUUGUCACUCUUCAAAAUAAAAAUUGUAAUGCCAAUGGUAAUUCCCUGAUGAAUCGUAGAGGAUUCACUAUUAACAUGAUUGUCCCAAAGUAUCAAGAACCUCCACGUCAAAAUGCCCCAAAUUAUCGUUAAAUGCCUUUCCCUCAACAAGACAAUUACAAUCCUCUUCCAUGUCUUAAGAAGAAACCUUCUGAAAAAUUUACUCCUCUCAUUGAAUGUCGAAUGCAGUUGUUUGAGCAAUUGACAAUGGCAGGCCUUAUGCAUCCACGUUGACCCAAACCGGUUGACAUUAGAUCAAGGUUUUAUAGAAUGGAUCAAGGGUGCGCAUAUCAUUCCAAUUGUUUUGGACGUGAUACUGAAGAUUGUAUUAACUUGAAGCACAAUAUCCAGGACAUGAUGGCUCAGAAUGUGGUCAGGACCAUUGCACCCAACAUCUAUAGUAAUCCUCGAUUGAACUAUAGAGGCACCAAUAUCAAUAUGAUAAAUUUGGAGAAUGAGUGGUGCAUGGUAAAGGCUAUAGUUCCAAAUGGUCCUGACAACCUUGAGAAAACGGUAGCUUCUCCGAGCAUAAGUGAGAAACUCAAUUUUUCGAGCUUGAAAUUCCAUCGAACUUUUGCUUUUGUGUUAAGAUACGAUCAGAACAAGAAGGGGAUUAAUCAUGCUCCACCAAACUCUUUGCCUCAUUUAUGUCAGUCCCUUGUGGUAGAGGAUUAUGGAAAUGAUGAAGGUCUUGGAGAAGGAAUUGGGAAUCUUUUAAAAGAAGAUGAAGAUGCACCCAAUAAGAUGAUUGAAACACCAGACAUACAAGAUGUCGAGCCAAUGGAGCAUAUUCUUAAUUGAACUUCCACUAUGCUCUUUAUAUCUCGCUCAAUUUGAUAGACAAAAGAUGAAUUUUAUGUUGUUUUCAAAAUUGGUGGUAGUUUGAAUGAGGCUAGGGACCCACUUUUUGUGUCAGUUUACCUAAUUAUGUUUUCAUUUCCCUCGUAAUGUUUUCAAAAAAGGAAAAAUAGCCCAUGGUCAUGGCCAAUGUUUGUAUUUCCUUACUUUCAAUGAAAGUCUCUCCUAUUGUGAAAAAUUAAUUUACUUUCUUUAAUUAUGUUAUCUAACAAUCAUUAUUUUUCUUUCACUAAAAAAAUAUAUUUUAAACAUGUCAAUAUCAUGUCACAAAUAGAAUUAACAAAAUGAGAUAGAUGAACAUCAUAUUGAAGAGUAUGACGAGGAAGAUCAUGAUAUUCAAACACCUUCUCAAAAUAUUUGAAACAGUUUGAGACUCUGGAUAAAUCAAAUUCAAAUGAGGAAAAAACUAAAGAUUUUGGAAAGAAUGAUUGAGUCAAAGAAACCAGAAUCAAAUGUAAGCUCAUAAAAGAGAACUCAUCAGCUUAUGUUCUGUAGUUAGAAAAUUAUUUCUUCUAAUGAACUAUAUCUCAUGUGAAUUCUCAAGAACGAGAUAUGUAAGCAGCCUAUAUCGGCCUCGGUCACCCCUUUAAUCCCUUCUAAUAUUUAUUAGUACUUGAACUAUGUUCAACCUGAAUUCUUAAGAAUGAGAUAUGUAGGUGUUUUAUGUCGGCCUUAGUUGGUUUCUUUGUAUAUUUCUUUUUGUUGUUAACCUCGAGAGGGGAACUACGCUUGACCUGAUUCCUGCCUCAACGGGAUUCAUAGGCGCCAGAAUGGUUUUGUCAUAUCUCCCAUAAGACUUCUAUUUCUCUUUAGAAUAGAAAUUGGGAGAGAAAUUUUGAGAGGAAAGAGGAAAAUCUCUCCAAAAAAAUCGAGACUGAAGUUACUUUGAGAUUUGCAACUAGGACAUAAUUUUGUAGAUGAUCUAAAAAAUUCAAUGAUUUGCUUAUUAACAGUUAAAGUUACGUUAAGACAGUUAACCGGGACAUAAAUUUUGAGGAUUGCCUCAAAAAAUUUCAACAAAAUUUAUCGGCAGUUUAGAGCAACUUUGAAUAAUUCCCAUCAAAUAAUCAGAUAGACUUCGAGACAUCAACUUCAAUUACAUUCGCUAAAGCUUGAUGUGGCAUGAUACUUGGCAUCUAUCCUUUUUGAGAACCUUUUUUGUAAAAAUAAAAAUUUUCUAUAUGUUUCAAAUAUUUUCUAUCAAGAAGCGAGAAAUCAGAGCGAUCAAAUAAAGAUAGCAAGACGAUGAGCAAGUGAUUGAAAAACUCAACAUACAUUAGUUUGUUUUAAAAACUAACAAUUUUUUAGUGGAUGCAGGUCCAUAAGUUUUCUAAUGAUCAUCCUAUUCCUUUGUUCAAUGUAGUUGGAGAAGUCAAAAGGACGAGGAUGUCCCUUAGAUUGGAAAUUUUUCUAUCGAUGUAGGAAAGUCAUUGAAGUUUUUUUUUAAAAAAAAUUGUUCAGUAUAAGAGCAAUAAUACUGCAUUCAAAUUUCCAGCAAUGUAUGAGUCACAAUGAGUAUAAAUGUUCAAAUAUGAACAAGUGAAAGAAUCACUCUCAACAUGCUCAAGCAUAUACAAUCACAUCAAAUUAUAUUUUUUCAGCAUCAAGAACAUUUGAAGAAUAUUCAUAAAUCAUGUCGAUAUCAGAUGUUGUAAUGUGAAACCCCUAGAGGUACAUAUCCACAUAUUAUAAUAUGAGAUAAUACCACUAUCCAAAGGGACAUAUUUGUAGUAUUAUGAAAUGAGAUCAUCGUCAUUCUAUCAAUGGACAUCAACAUCAUCCUGCCAAUGGAUCCAUAUCAUCAUCAUCCUAUCAAUAGAUCAAAAACAUCCUAUCAAUGGAUGGAUCGAAAUCAUCAUCAUCCUAUCAAUCGAUCAAUAUUAUCCUACCAAUGGAUCAUCAAAGAAACAUCAUCAUCCUAUCGUUGGAGCACUAACACCCCAAUGGAUAAACAUCAGCAUCAUCCUAUCAAUGAAUCAAUAACAUUCUAUGAAUGGAGCAUCAACAUCAUCCUUCCAAUGGAUCAACAUAAUCCUACCAAUGGAUCAUCAAUCAACGAAGAAUCGUUGUCCUAUCAAUGCAAAAUCAACAUGAUCCUAUCAAUGGAUCAUCAACGAAGAAUAAUCGUCCUAUGAAUAGAGCAUCAAAUUUGUCUUACAAAUGGGGCAUCAUCAUUCUAUUAUUUAGCAGCAUUAUCCUAUCAAUGGAUGAUCAUCAUCCUACCAAUGGUUCAUCAUCUUUCUAUCGAUAAAGCAUUUUCAUCCACGUCAUAUCAAGUCAUCAUCUACUGCAUCAAAAUUGAUGGAGGCUGACGUCAAAACAUUUAUCCAAAAAAACAUUUGUUGAAUACGACGACAUUAGAAAAGAUGCAGCACAAUGUGAAUUUUUUCUUAACGCAAGAUGAGAAUCGAAAAUUAUCGAUCCAUCCACCUCUUUGACGUAGUAUAUUCAUCGAGUCACCCACCUUGUUACAGUAAAAUAGUCAUCAAGUCAUCAAUCUCAUUAUAGUUGGAUAAUAAUCGAGCCAGCUAGCUCAUUGCAGAGAUCACCGAAGUUUGCCCUGCAAUAAAUAACCUAUAUAUCUCCAAAUCCUCAGCAAAUCAUGAGUUGUAAUAAACAUAUUGUGUUUGAAAGAGGUAUCCAUUUAUCUUCCACUCCCAAUACUUUUUUAUUUUCUCAAAUAGUUGAAAAAUGUUUAUGAUUAUCCAUUAAGAUAUUCUCAUU